rnacentral:rRNA from 1 species
AUUGAACGCUGGCGGCAGGCUUAACACAUGCAAGUCGAGCGGGGAAGGGUAGCUUGCUACCUAACCUAGCGGCGGACGGGUGAGUAAUGCUUAGGAAUCUGCCAUUUAGUGGGGGACAACAUUCCGAAAGGAAUGCUAAUACCGCAUACGUCCUACGGGAGAAAGCAGGGGAUCUUCGGACCUUGCGCUAAAUGAUGAGCCUAAGUCGGAUUAGCUAGUUGGUGGGGUAAAGGCCUACCAAGGCGACGAUCUGUAGCGGGUCUGAGAGGAUGGUCCGCCACACUGGGACUGAGACACGGCCCAGACUCCUACGGGAGGCAGCAGUGGGGAAUAUUGGACAAUGGGCGGAAGCCUGAUCCAGCCAUGCCGCGUGUGUGAAGAAGGCCUUAUGGUUGUAAAGCACUUUAAGCGAGGAGGAGGCUACUUAGAUUAAUACUCUAGGAUAGUGGACGUUACUCGCAGAAUAAGCACCGGCUAACUCUGUGCCAGCCGCCGCAGUAACAC